rnacentral:rRNA from 1 species
GGGCUACUACACCGGAUCCCAUCAGAACUCCGCAGUUAAGCGCCCUUGGGCCGGAUCAGUACUGGGAUGGGUGACCUCCCGGGAAGUCCCGGUGCUGCACCCUCUUUUUUCGAAACUUUU